UACGGAGGAUGCGAGCGUUAUCCGGAUUUAUUGGGUUUAAAGGGUGCGCAGGCGGCACGGCAAGCCGGCGGUCAAAUCGCGGGGCUCAACCCCGCCCAGCCGUCGGAACUGCCGGGCUAGAGUGGGCGAGAAGUGCGCGGAAUGCGUGGUGUAGCGGUGAAAUGCAUAGAUAUCACGCAGAACUCCGAUUGCGAAGGCAGCGCACCGGCGCCCUACUGACGCUCAGGCACGAAAGCGUGGGUAGCAAACAGG
rnacentral:rRNA from 1 species